rnacentral:rRNA from 1 species
UACGUAGGGAGCAAGCGUUGUCCGGAAUCAUUGGGCGUAAAGCGCGCGUAGGUGGCCAUGUAAGUCCGCUGUGAAAGUCAAAGGCUCAACCUUUGAAAGCCGGUGGAUACUGCAUGGCUAGAGUACGGAAGAGGCGAGUGGAAUUCCAGGUGUAGCGGUGAAAUGCGUAGAUAUCUGGAGGAAUACCGGUGGCGAAGGCGGCAUCCUGGACCGAGAUUGACACUGAUGAGCGAAAGCUAGGGGAGCAAACGGG